AGUGAACGCUGGCGGUAGGCCUAACACAUGCAAGUCGAACGGCAGCACAGUAAGAGCUUGCUCUUACGGGUGGCGAGUGGCGGACGGGUGAGGAAUACAUCGGAAUCUACUUUUUCGUGGGGGAUAACGUAGGGAAACUUACGCUAAUACCGCAUACGACCUACGGGUGAAAGCAGGGGAUCUUCGGACCUUGCGCGAUUGAAUGAGCCGAUGUCGGAUUAGCUAGUUGGCGGGGUAAAGGCCCACCAAGGCGACGAUCCGUAGCUGGUCUGAGAGGAUGAUCAGCCACACUGGAACUGAGACACGGUCCAGACUCCUACGGGAGGCAGCAGUGGGAAAUAUUGGACAAUGGGCGCAAGCCUGAUCCAGCCAUACCGCGUGGGUGAAGAAGGCCUUCGGGUUGUAAAGCCCUUUUAUUGGGAAAGAAAAGCAGCAGGUUAAUACCCCGCUGUUCUGACGGUACCCAAAGAGUAAGCACCGGCUAACUUCGUG
rnacentral:rRNA from 1 species